rnacentral:tRNA from 1 species
ACGUAGCUCAGCAGGAUAGAGCGUUCGCCUCCUAAGCGAAAGGUCGGAGGUUCGAAUCCUCUCGU